UACGAAGGGGGCUAGCGUUGCUCGGAAUCACUGGGCGUAAAGGGUGCGUAGGCGGGUCUUUAAGUCAGGGGGGAAAUCUCCGGGCUUAACCCGGAAACUGCCAUUGAUACUAUUUGUCUUGAAUACUGUGGAGGUCAGCGGAAUAUGUCAUGUAGCGGUGAAAUGCUUAGAUAUGACAUAGAACACCAAUUGCGAAGGCAGCUGGCUACACAAAUAUUGACACUGAGGCACGAAAGCGUGGGGAUCAAACAGG
rnacentral:rRNA from 1 species